rnacentral:lncRNA from 1 species
UGUGGUAAUUAUUGUCUAACUAUAGACUAACUAAGCUCAAAAGAUUCGUCUUGUCAAUUUCGACCAAAUUGUGCAAUUAGUUUUUAUUUUCGUCUAUAUUUAAUACUCUAUGUAUGCGUCUAAAUAUUCGAUGUGAUAAGAAAUUUUGAAAAAUUUUUGAGUGGAAGUAAACAAGGCGUGAAUGCGGGAGCGAGUGGCCGAGGUAACGAGCCAUUAGGUGAUUUGGCCGGACAAGAAAAAAAAAUAUGACAGAAAUUUGGGCUCUUAGCCUCUUAGGUAUAUAGAUAGAUAGAUGCACGUAUCCGUGUAGUAGCAACUUGUUCCAGCAAUC